CUGACCUUAGCUCAGUUGGUAGAGUGGUGGACUGUAGUUGGACUAAUCUAAAUUGAAAUCCUUAGUCGCUGGUUUGAUUCCGGCAGGUUGGA
rnacentral:tRNA from 1 species